AGCGGUUAAGUGUUCACCUGUUAACUGAAAGGUUGGUGGUUCAAACCCACCAGCCGCUC
rnacentral:tRNA from 1 species